AAGUGACCUGCAUCAAUGUGGGUCCCACAGUCAGGGAUACCCUUUCGUGUCGAGAAUCAUCUUCAAUAUAAUUUCGGCACAGCUUGGAGCCAGUUAUCUGGAAGCAAAAUGGCAAGGUUGCAACCAAUCUCUGUUUGCAUACUCAUAAUGCUUUCAUCUUACUAUCCACGGCUAACAGUCUCUCAAUCAACGGUCAGAUAUCUACCUGGCUUUUCCGGCCCUCUCCCCUUCCGUCUAGAGACCGGGUACGUGGGUGUGGGGGAUUUGGAAGAAAACCAGCUGUUUUACUACUUCGUGGAGUCUGAGAAGAGCCCCAAAGAGGACCCUCUUGUCCUGUGGCUCAUUGGCGGCCCUGGCUGCUCAGGAUGGAGUGCCCUGGUCUACGAAAUUGGUCCAUUGUCUUUUGAGAAUGUUCCAUAUAAUGGAACUCCACCAACUUUGAAGCUAAGACAACAUUCAUGGACAAAGAUUUCCAACAUCAUCUUCGUUGAUUCACCUGUUUGGACUGGAUUUUCAUAUUCAAGUGGUUCAAAAGACUACUCGGGUGGGGACAUAAAAUCUUCCAAGGAAGUUCAUCAGUUUCUAAGGAAGUGGUUGAUAGCUCACCCGCAAUUCCUAUCAAAUCCUCUCUACGUUGGUGGUGAAUCAUAUUCUGGCAUAACUCUUCCUAUCGUCGUUCAUGAAAUAGCAAAUGGGAUUGACGCUGGACAGGAACCAAUCCUCAAUCUUAAGACAUUUUCACAAUGGCCUCCACCUUCUGUGGUCCAUACAUUGAACACGUGUGCCAUCUUGCGAGAUCCAAGCCACUCACCAGCAAGGCAAGAACAUGGCUAUUUGCUCGGAAACCCAAUAACGGAUAGAGUAAUAGAUGGUGGCUCAUUUGUACCGUACGCACGUGGGAUGGGCCUCAUAUCGGCCGAACUCUACAAGGCGAUGUUGUCUAUAAGGUGCGCUGACUCGCAUUCACCUUUGGAACCAAAAAUUGAUCUAAAACACAAGCAGGCCACACCAUUUGAAAGAGCUAGGAUGGGGCACCCAUUGUUAGUUGUAUGUGAGGCACGAAGGUUUUUAUUUGCAAUCCAAUCCAUUCAUAAGAUUCUUCUAGCCAAGAUAAAGGUACUAUUUAAAAAUAAUGCUACCUUGAAACUCAUGUGGACCACACUUGAGUCAACCAAGAAAAGUUGUAGAGGACAUUAUACAAAGCCAAGUAAUUUUAAAUGUACAAUGGAUCUUGAGGCAGUAAAUAAGUGCAUUGCAGGAAUUUAUACAGAUCAUAUUCUGGAGCCCAAGUGCCCCCUGGCAUCCCCAAAGCCAAAAGAUACAGUGGGACACGGAAGAUCUCUUAAAGAGAAUUCUAGAGAACUCCUCCUCCCAGAUCCCCUUCCUACUUUUGGGUGCAGGGAGUAUUGGCAGUUGCUCUCCUAUUAUUGGGCAGAUGAUGCAAGUGUUAGAAAGGCUCUCCACAUCCGGGAGGGAACGAUCGGUGAAUGGCUACGGUGCAACAGAAAGCUGGCUUAUGUUUAUGAUGUCAACAGCAGUGUAAAGUACCAUCUCAACCUGACCACGAGAGGUUACCGAGCUUUGAUAUAUAGCGGUGAUCACGACUUAGGGACAUCAUUUGUGGGGACAGAAACAUGGAUAAGAUCGCUGAAUUUCUCAAUAGUUGAUGAUUGGCAACCAUGGGCCGUUGAUGGCCAAGUUGCAGGGUUCCAAUGGGUCUUGUGCUGGGUUAGCCCAUGGUGGGCCUAAUAUACUAUUGGACAGUUACUUAAGUGUUUUAAUCUCACAGGUACACAAGGACCUAUUCCAACGACUUCACAUUUGCAACCGUAAAGGGAGCGGGCCACAUGGCUCCAGAAUACAAGCCCAAGGAAUGCUUUGCGAUGUUCCAACGUUGGAUUUCCCAUAAUCCCCUAUAAUUAUCUCAUUCCCUUUCGUUUUAGAGCUAAAAUGCCCAUCAUUUCCAUGCAUGGACUGCCGAAUUCUCCACUGAACAUGGUCAAGAAAGUAUGGGCACAUUGGCAUCUUCUAAAAGAUUUUAUAUGCUAGCUAUGGUGGGCCACUCAAUUAGUAUAGAGUGGAUAACAAUAUUCAACAAUUGACAACUUCAUUGCGUUGACUUGAAAAAUAUGUAUCUCCUUCAAUACAAUUCUAAUUGAGAUUAUUCAAAAGACAAAACAAA